rnacentral:rRNA from 1 species
AACGAACGUUGGCGGCGUGGAUUAGGCAUGCAAGUCGAGCGAAUCCCAGCAAUGGGGGAAGCGGCGAAAGGGGCAGUAAGGCAUGGGUAACCUACCCUGGGGACUGGGAUAGCCCUUCGAGAGAAGGGGUAAUACCGGGCGACGUGCCGAGGAGGCAUCUCCUUGUCACCAAAUGAAUUUCGCCCUGGGAGGGGCCCAUGUGAUAUUAGCUAGUUGGUGGGGUAACGGCCCACCAAGGCGAAGAUGUCUAGCGGGUGUGAGAGCACGACCCGCGCCACUGGCACUGAGACACUGGCCAGACACCUACGGGUGGCUGCAGUCGAGGAUCUUCGGCAAUGGGCGCAAGCCUGACCGAGCGACGCCGCGUGUGCGAUGAAGGCCUUCGGGUUGUAAAGCACUGUCGAGAGGGAGAAAAGCGCAAGCUUGAUCUAUCUCUGGAGGAAGCACGGGCUAAGUUCGUGCCAGCAGCCGCCGUAAGAC